UCCACAAUUAAUCUAAAAUAAAGAUUUAUAGUAAAACUGAUACCGUACCAAUUUAAGUUCCUCUACGGAAAUUCUAACCAAAUUGCAAAUUUCGACUCGUUAUAAUCUCGUUUCCUGACCAUCAGAUUUCCGUCAAAUCUUCCCCCCAAAGUCCAGGAAAUGGCAUUUCAGAGACUCUAAAUUUAAAAAUUUUCCGGGGGGGCAUGCCCCCGGACCCCCCUAGGAACACCUCGCACCUGCGGCGCUCGGCUCGUGCCUUCGGCCCUCGUUUAUCAAGCGUCACAUUAUAGGGGCGCAUAUUGGUUGAUAGCCCACUGGCCCCCCCAGAAAAAUAGUAUCCAGCACG